CAAAACAGUACAGAAAACAUUGAUCAAAAUGAAAAAAUGGCAAAUGGAGACUGAGGUCAACGUUUGAACAGGAUUUAAGCACCAGCUCCCUGAUAGGAUUUCUUGCUCAUUGGUUCAUGCACGUUGAGUAGAAAGCCUGUCACGUUCCACAACACGGGGCCACACCAUUAUUCUGUUGAAGGAAAGAAGAUGUAGGUAUUUAAAGGAGAUUUUCAGGAGAGCUGGAACACGGAGUAUCUGUUUUGUUGACCUCAGG